rnacentral:rRNA from 1 species
GUGGGGAAUCUUGCGCAAUGGGCGAAAGCCUGACGCAGCCAUGCCGCGUGAAUGAUGAAGGUCUUAGGAUUGUAAAAUUCUUUCACCGGGGACGAUAAUGACGGUACCCGGAGAAGAAGCCCCGGCUAACUUCGUGCCAGCAGCCGCGGUAAUACGAAGGGGGCUAGCGUUGCUCGGAAUUACUGGGCGUAAAGGGCGCGUAGGCGGACAGUUUAGUCAGAGGUGAAAGCCCAGGGCUCAACCUUGGAAUUGCCUUUGAUACUGGCUGUCUUGAGUACGGGAGAGGUGAGUGGAACUCCGAGUGUAGAGGGGAAAUUCGUAGAUAUUCGGAAGAACACCAGUGGCGAAGGCGACUCACUGGCCCGUUACUGACGCUGAGGCGCGAAAGCGUGGGGAGCAAACAGGAUUAGAUACCCCGGUAGUCC